rnacentral:rRNA from 1 species
UACGAAGGGGGCUAGCGUUGCUCGGAAUCACUGGGCGUAAAGGGUGCGUAGGCGGGUCUUUUAAGUCAGGGGUGAAAUCCUGGAGCUCAACUCCAGAACUGCCUUUGAUACUGAGGAUCUUGAGUUCGGGAGAGGUGAGUGGAACUGCGAGUGUAGAGGUGGAAUUCGUAGAUAUUAGGAAGAACACCAGUGGCGAAGGCGGCUCACUGGUCCGGUACUGACGCUGAGGAGCGAAAGCGUGGGGAGCGAACAGG